UGCGACCAUGUCGAACUGCUUGUCUUCUUGCAUGCGCGCCCUAAGAUUCUUUUUCCCCCAAUCCCCACAGCCGCCUCCCUCCCACACCCUUCCUCCUCCUUCCUCGCUCGUCAGCCGCCACAGCUGCCGCACUCCUCCAUCUCUUUCCUCCCGCGUCCUCCUGCGUGGGACGCCGCUAGGCUCCUCCCUCUCUCGUCCCAGCCUGACGCAGGCGGAUCCAUGGGUAGAAGAGAGGAAUAAGGGAGGUAGAGGAACGACGGGGAAGGGGAUGGGCAAGAGCUUCAUGCCCCGAAUCCAGUUGGCCCGGGCCGUGCCUACAUGAGCAGCGCCGCGGCUCGAUGCUUCCCCACCCGACGAAGACGGCAAGCUAGGUGUUGACAAUGGCAGCCCCAGGCCAUCUGAUCUGUCACCGGUGCCGUUCUUUUGGUCGAGACCGCCGUCGUCCACGUGCUCCUCCUCACCCCCACGGCUGGACGCUGGCGAGGCCAGCCUCCCCUCCAAGCGCAGGUACUUCCCCGCUCCUUUCCGUGUUCUCUCUCUCUUCCCCUGAUAUAUCUCUCUGUUGUACACGGAAGCAAAUUUGUUCAAUUCUCAGUCUAGAUUUAAUGAAGAAAACUGCGGUUCAUAAAACGCCAAUUAUGGAUAUGGAUCCAUCUUGCUGCGCUGGAUGAAGGGCUGGAUAUGGAUCCAUCUUGCUGAUUUGGAAGAAAACUGCAGUUCAUACAAUGCUAAUUAUGGAUAUGGAUCCAUCUAAUACAGUUCUUCACAAAGCCCAGGAAUCGCAAGGGUUCAAUUGCUUUCGGGGUCGUACUUUUCUUGGUCCUUAUUGGUUGGCCUGUCUUCGGCAUGAUGGCGGACUCGUAUGGCUUUGCCCUGCUAUUCUGGUGAUGUUGUUGCCUGCUCUUCUAAACUGCCGCUUGUUUAUCAUUUGCUGUUUUGCUUAUCAAGCAGGAGGGUAACUACUGGAAGCAGUUGGCAAGGCAAGCAUUCAAUGGAUCUCAAAGCGUUGAUCCUGAAGGAAGGUAACUACUCAAAGGUAUGCACAUAUUCAUGUUGGAGCAGUUAAGUUUGCAAGGAUCUGCUGUUGGAGGGCAUGGUAUGUGCUCUCAAGACAAACGGAGAGAGUGGUUCGAAUCCACCUCAGAACGGGUCUAGGCCGCUUUCCUUGACUUUGAGUUGGAUCUCAUUCUUCUUCCCUGCCCCCCGGCCUCUCACUUCGUUUCGUUCUUCCUCUGUACCCUCGCUUGAAUGAAGGUGAACCAACCCCUUGGACUGCUGCGAAAAACACCAUCAGAUUUCAAAGUAGCCCGGUCUAAUUCAAAAAUUUCCACUAACGCAAGAGGGAUUCCUGCGACUAACGCUAGAGCAAAGGGAAAGGACAAUGAAGCAGCAAUAAACAGAUUGAAGAGCUAUUAGUAUAGCAAGUAUUAAUUCAACAAUUAGUUAGUUUGGGAAGACUGCUUUGCCUGGAUUGAUGGCGAGCCUGGUUCUUUAUGAUCCGGUGACAUCUUUUGGCCUAUUGAGGAACUGGACAUGAUUUAUAUAGCGAAGUUAAGUGUAUGGAUGACAACUUCCUCUCAUACCUCUUUUGGCCUAUUGAGGAACUGGACAUGAUUUAUAUAGCGAAGUUAAGUGUAUGGAUGACUACUUCCUCUGAUACAUGUUAUCUGUAUAUUUUAUAUACAUGGCUUUUGUGUUC